rnacentral:rRNA from 1 species
GACGAACGCUGGCGGCGUGCUUAACACAUGCAAGUCGAACGGAAAGGCCCUGCUUUUGUGGGGUGCUCGAGUGGCGAACGGGUGAGUAACACGUGAGUAACCUGCCCUUGACUUUGGGAUAACUUCAGGAAACUGGGGCUAAUAUCGGAUAGGAGCUCCUGCUGCAUGGUGGGGGUUGGAAAGUUUCGGCGGUUGGGGAUGGACGCGCGGCUUAUCAGCUUGUUGGUGGGGGAGUGGCUUACCAAGGCUUUGGCGGGUAGCCGGCCUGAGAGGGUGACCGGCCACAUUAGGACUGAGGUACGGCCCAGACUCCUACGGGAGGCAACGGUGGGGAAUAUUGCACAAUGGGCGGAAGCCUGAUACAGCAACGCCGCGUGCGGGAUGACGGCCUUCGGGUUGUAAACCGCUUUCGCCUGUGACGAAGCGUGAGUGACGGUAAUGGGUAAAGAAGCACCGGCUAACUACGUG